rnacentral:tRNA from 1 species
GGGGAUACCAGAGUGGCCAAAUGACAGACUGUAACUCUGUUGUCGCAAGACUUCGAAGGUUCGAAUCCUUUCCCCACCA